rnacentral:lncRNA from 1 species
AACACACAAAUAAUGAAAUGUUGCCAUGUUUUUAUUGAACACACCAUGUAAACAUUCACAGUGCAGGUGGAAAAAGUAUGUGAAUCCAUAGAUUAAUGACAUCUCCAAGAGCUAAUUGGAGUGAGAUGUCAGCCAACUGGAGUCCAAUCAAUGAGAUGAGAUUGGAGGUGUUGGUUACAGCCGCCCUGCCCUAUAAAAAACACACACCAGUUCCAGGUUUGCUUUUCACAAGAAGCAUUGCCUGAUGUGAAUGAUGCCUCACACAAAAGAGCUCUCAGAAGACCUACGAUUAAGAAUUGCUGACUUGCAUAAAGCUGGAAAGGGUUAUAAAAGUAUCUCCAAAAGCCUUGCUGUUCAUCAGUCCACGGUAAGACAAAUUGUCUAUAAAUGGAGAAAGUUCAGCACUGCUGCUACUCUCCCUGGAAAGAUAACUGCAAGAGCACAGCGCAGACUGCUCAAUAAGGUGAAGAAGAAUCCUAGAGUGUCAGCUAAAGACUUACAAAAGUCACUGGCAAAUGCUAACAUCCCUGUUAGCGAAUCUACAAUACGUAAAACACUAAACAAGAAUGGAUUUCAUGGGAGGAUACCACAGAGGAAGCCACUGCUGUCCAAACAAAACAAUGCUGCACGUUUACAGUUUGCACAAGAGCACCUGGAUGUUCCACAGCAGUACUGGCAAAAUAUUCUGUGGACAGAUGAAACCAAAGUUGAGUUGUUUGGAAGAAACACACAACACUAUGUGUGGCGAAAAAAAGGCACAGUACACCAACAUCAAAACCUCAUCCCAACUGUGAAGUAUGGAGGUGGGGGCAUCAUGGUUUGGGGCUGCUUUGCUGCGUCAGGGCCUGGACGGAUUGCUAUCAUCGAAGGAAAAAUGAAUUCACAAGUUUAUCAAGACAUUUUGCAGGAGAACAUAAGGCCAUCUGUCUACCAGCUGAAGCUCAACAGAAGAUGGGUGUUGCAACAGGACAAUGACCCAAAGCAUAUGUGACGAGUCCAAUCUCGCCACAUUGCAUUGGAGGAGCCUGGUUGCCCGCCUGUUGCCUCUGGACUAUGGCCCCAUGGUAAACCUUGUAUUUUCCCCUGCAGAAAGGCUUGUUCGUGUCUUUCUGCCAGCGUGUUCGGUAGAUUUAAUGUACCGAACAAACGCACAAAUGACUGGACCACCUGGGAGCUGGAGUGUGCCAUCAAUAGAUCUCCCAGAAGCUGCGGUUAACCGCAGCUUAACUGACGAAUGCUGGGUGGCCUUUGUUCGUUUGCCGAACACGUGGCGGCGGCCAUUUUAAAGUCCCGAACGGCCAGCGGUGUUCAGCGCCCAAACCAUGGAACUGGAAACGGACACUUAUUUGCGCGAACACCGCUGAGCCGUCAGCCUCCUUGCUUCUGCAUUCGGUCAUUUAAUCGAAUGCCUGUUCAUUCGGUAGUUUAACCGUAUGAACAGCAUCACCCCAGAUAACCAUGCCAUGGAGCCUAUUCGUGUAACGAAAGACUAUGUUUAAGACUUUGGCUCCAUGGCGAUUGAACUGUAUGUAUGUGAUCUGAGCGCCAUUCGGUAAUAAUGUGCGCUCAGAUCUAAGCUAUCUGGGGAUAGGUAGAAUGUAUAUGUUUUGUUCAUUAUUUGCAACAUUGUGUAUUUUUGUGUCUUUUUACUAACAUGUGCUCAAUGGAGUUUUGCCUCUGUCCUUGGAGAUAAUUGGAUUACUUCCCAAUUAUGUCCAGGAUAUAGGGGAGGGAUUGUAAUGUACUGUGGGAGUGUUUUAACCCUGUAUGCCAGUGAUUGGUCAUUUUACCAUUUGUGUCCCAGUCUUCCAUCUGGUCCCCUAGGGGAGUGUCCACCAGGUGGAAGACCUGCAUAAAUACCGGGCAGGUAUCCCUCAAUAAACCAGAUCACUGCUUGACCCUCAACACAGAGUUCUGUCUCGUUCUUGGGAUUUAUUGUAUGCUGUUCCAGUUCGACUGCUAGGAGUGUAAACCUUUUGUAUGUUUUUUUCUAUUCGGCUGUUUACAGCAUUUGUAUGUUUGAGAGCAUUCAAAUGCUUCUCCGGUUCGGUGGAUUGGUGUCUACAGUAGCUGCCUGUAUAUCUGGAAGGGAAUAUCUCCAAACGGCUGAUAACCCCUUUUAUGCCUGGGGGUGCCGUUACAGCAUAGAAGUAAAUCAACAACAGAAUGGCUUAAACAGAAGAAAAUACGCCUUCUGAAGUGGCCCAGUCAGAGUCCUGACCUCAACCAGAUUGAGAUGCUGUGGCAUGACCUCAAGAAAGCGAUUCACACCAGACAUCCCAAGAAUAUUGCUGAACUGAAACAGUUCUGUAAAGAGGAAUGGUCAAGAAUUACUCCUGACCGUUGUGCACGUCUGAUCUGCAACUACAGGAAACGUUUGGUUGAAGUUAUUGCUGCCAAAGGAGGUUCAACCAGUUAUUAAAUCCAAGGGUUCACAUACUUUCUCCACCUGCACUGUGAAUGUUUACAUGGUGUGUUCAAUAAAAACAUGGCAACAUUUCAUUCUUUGUGUG